AACCAGAAUGCUACAAGACAAAAGCUAAGUCAUGCUCUGUACAUGGUAUUGUAUUUGCGCCGGUGGAUUUCCUCUUCACUGAUUCAAUGCCUCGUAUGGUGUUUACAACGUUUCAGGUUUCCUAUCAUCCACUGC